rnacentral:lncRNA from 1 species
UGAUAGGAUCCACUUUCACAGUUGCUCACUCCAGUGAGUGGCAUCUUCCUCUACUCUGUCUAAUCCAGAAACCUGGCUUAACUAUCUCUCAAUGUCCUCAUUCCCCAUGUGCAAUUCUGCCUGCUUAUACUCAUCAACCCUAUUUCUUAGUUCUUUUUUUCUCCUGGGGAUGGAGAUAUUCUAGGCACAGCCAACUACCACCAAACUACACCCCUAUCUCCUUACUUUUUACUUCUAUUUCUUCUGUCACUAGUCCAGCCUAAAUUAUCAUUAUUUCUCUUCUGGAAUAGUAAAGUAGCCUCCGAGACUUCUUGACCCUUCUCAUCCAUUCUCCAUACACAGCCAGAGUGCUGUUAAACAUAGUUAUGAUUUUACCACUCUCCUGAUUCUUAUUGACCUAAGCAUGAAGACAAAAAUAAUUAACUUAUCAUAUCUUCUACCAUCACCUCUAAGUCUCCAGAUGUAAGACCCAUUUCAUUCCCCAAAUGCAUGCUGCAGUUAACAAGUGCCACAUGGCACUUAAUGUGGUUGGGAUUUUCCCUACUGUGCUGUGAGAUUCUUGAGGACCAAGACCUUGUCCUCUUCGCCAUGGUAACAUCAUUGUCUACCACAAUGUUCAGCAUAGAAUUGGCCCCUUUUUUUGUUGCAUGAAGGCAUAAAUGAGUGAAUAAAUGCAGCUGCUUAUAACCCAAGAGUCCAGGAAAUAGUUCUGUGUGUUAGUUGAAGCAAAAUUUACAAAAUACUCAUUAUAUCAAAAAUAUCUAAAUAAUAAAAAUGUGUCCCUGGAGUAGAAGACAAAUUAGAACUAAACUGUGUAUAAAAAUAGAUAAUUUAUCUUUGUUAUAAUUUCAUUGUAGUCUGAAAAAAGUACAUGAUGCUUGCUCCAAACUUCACUUGAACACUUUAGUAGUUGUUCUAAUAAAUGACAAGAAUUUGAGUACA